AUUGAACGCUGGCGGCAGGCUUAACACAUGCAAGUCGAGCGGGCGAGGUUGCUUCGGUAACUGAGCUAGCGGCGGACGGGUGAGUAAUGCUUAGGAAUCUGCCUAUUAGUGGGGGACAACAUUCCGAAAGGAAUGCUAAUACCGCAUACGCCCUACGGGGGAAAGCAGGGGAUCUUCGGACCUUGCGCUAAUAGAUGAGCCUAAGUCAGAUUAGCUAGUUGGUGGGGUAAAGGCCUACCGAGGCGACGAUCUGUAGCGGGUCUGAGAGGAUGAUCCGCCAGACUGGGACUUAGAAACGGCCAGGACUCCUACGGGAGGCAGCAGUGGGGAAUAUUGGACAAUGGGCGCAAGCCUGAUCCAGCCAUGCCGCGUGUGUGAAGAAGGCCUUUUGGUUGUAAAGCCCUUUCGGCGGGGAAGAAAUGGCAACGGCUAAUAUCCGUUGUUGAUGACGGUACCCGCAUAAGAAGCACCGGCUAACUACGUGCCAGCCGCCGCCGUAA
rnacentral:rRNA from 1 species